UCCACCCUCCAUCACAUGCUAAUAUACCAAAUCCGACGGUCCAUCUUUGUUGGAUUCGCCCACCUCUUCCCACCUGUGGAGUUUCUCGGACGUUCGCGAUGGCUCCUCACGUGACUCUCUGUUUGUAAAAUCAAAACAACCCCGCGCGAAACCCAUCCUGGGAACCAACACGAACCAGCGCACCAAAUAGCAGCUUCUCCAUCCCCUCCACACCCUGCCGCCACCUCCACCUGCUGUCUACCGUGGUUCUGUUUUCAUCGUCUUGGUACUACUUUUGAGUGAUUGCAACCCGUGGCCGUGGGAUCUAGGCUGGGAGGAGCAGAAGUGCGUAACCUGCAGUUGAUGUUUCUCGCAGAGAACUAUCUAUUCUCUCCAUGUUACAAAUCAACACGGAAUGAUGGCAUUUUCUGUCCCUUGUGGAGGGUAUGCAUUUUUUUGCACACAAGGUGUUUGUGUAUUUGCCCUAACUGUUAUGAAGAGAUAGAGACGAGCAGAAGGCAAAGGAUUAAUGUGCGGUUGUGAAGCUGCAUACCAGAAUCGGAUGUAUAAUUGGAAUGGUCAUAGUCAUACUUUUGUAUUCUUGUUAGCUGGUUCUUGGUUCCUUAUAUAAUGUUUUGAUUUUUUUUUGAGUUGAUAUGUUCAGAAGUUAUACUCAUUUGAUAAAUUUACAUAUGAUCCCCACAGGUGAUAAAUGAAUUGUUACGUGGAAUAAAAAUGCCCAUAAGUGUUAUCUUUUUCUUUUGUGCGGUAUAUUUUCUUUAUUUAUUGAUGAUAUUAGAGACUAAAAAACUGCGGCUCCAUAAUUUCAUCAGAGCUGAACUGAACUACAAGUUCAGUCAGUACAUGUCUCAUAACUUUGUAUGUCUACACGAGAGUAUAUAUUGUCAAUCAAAGCAUUAAAUUUGUGAAAUUCAUGCUCUUAGUUUUAAUUUACCUAAUAACCUAAUGUGUUGUUCAAGCCUGUCCUGCAGAUUUGAGUUGGCAACUUCUAACGAUCAACCUUGCCAGCCCGCAUGACUCUGUGUCGGCAUUCUGUUGCAAAUACCAGCCCAUUUGCUUCUCCUUCAUCAGUCCUAGGUACCACAUAAGUUUUCCCCUAACAUAGAGAUAACUAUGGAGAACAAUGCAUACAGUUGGAAGCACGGAGGCCUUUUAAAAAUAUUACGAAUGUCCCAGUGGUUAAUUCAACGACGGCAUCAAAAGCGAAACAAGGUUGGUGCAUGGACAGUUCAGUGGUCGAUCAGUAUGGUUGCUCAUCAAACAUGAAGCAAGUUUUGGUAUAUCUAAAGCGGGUAAAGACAUAUCUGAAUUGGACCAAGGCCUUAUUCUUCAGUCAAAUAUGUGCCACCUAGAUCAUGGAACUCGGCUGACGGAUGGUCCAUAUUUUUUUAAGGGGUUCUCUUGAAGAUCAAGCUGCAGAUAAUGCAUUGACAAACAAUAGUUGACGUAAGCAACAAUGUGGCACUAAGUGGUACUCAAACAGUAGCCGAGUGUGUUGUAGUAGGCCAGGCAUGUUGGGCUACGUCAAUGGGUGUGUGUGUACACAGACAAUUAAUAAAGAAAAAGUGAAAAUCUCAA